GAUGAAGAACGUAGCAAAAUGCGAUAAGUAAUGUGAAUUGCAGAAUUCAGUGAAUCAUCGAAUCUUUGAACGCACAUUGCGCCCGCCAGUAUUCUGGCGGGCAUGCCUGUUCGAGCGUCAUUUCAACCCUCAAGCACAGCUUGGUGUUGGGACUCGCGUUAAUUCGCGUUCCCCAAAUUGAUUGGCGGUCACGUCGAGCUUCCAUAGCGUAGUAGUAAAACCCUCGUUACUGGUAAUCGUCGCGGCCACGCCGUUAAACCCCAACUUCUGAAUGUUGACCUCGGAUCAGGUAGGAAUACCCGCUGAACUUAAGCAUAUCAAUAAGCGGGGGA
rnacentral:misc_RNA from 1 species